rnacentral:rRNA from 1 species
ACGGGAGGCAGCAGUAGGGAAUAUUGCACAAUGGGGGGAACCCUGAUGCAGCAACGCCACGUGUGGGAAGAAGCAUUUCGGUGUGUAAACCACUGUCGUGAGGGAAUAAUGCUUGGCUCCGGCCAAGUUGACUGUACCUCGAAAGGAAGCACCGGCAAACUUCGUGCCAGCAGCCGCGGUAAUACGAUGGGUGCAAGCGUUGUUCGGAAUCACUGGGCGUAAAGGGAGCGUAGGCGGAGACGCAAGCAGUCUGUACAAUACCGGGGCCCAACCCCGGACCUGCAGACUGGACUGUGUCUCUUGGAUAGUUCAGGGGCAGGCGGAAUUCCUGGUGUAGCGGUGGAAUGCGUAGAGAUCAGGAAGAACACCGAUGGCGAAGGCAGCCUGCUGGGGACUCAUCGACGCUGAGGCUCGAAAGUGCGGGUAGCAAACAGGAUUAGAUACCCUGGUA